AUGUGUAUUCCGAAGAAAGAAGGAGGGAUGGGUUUCCGAUAUUUACACUGUUUUAAUCAAGCAAUGUUGGCUAAGCAGUGUUGGAGACUACUAAGUGAACCAGAGUCUUUGUGUGCUCAGGUACUUUGUGCGAAAUAUUAUCCAGAUGGGGACCUUUCCAAUGCGGUGCUUAAAAAAGGUUCCUCGUUCACAUGGGGUAGUAUCAUGGCCGGAUUAAAGACCCUAAAAAGAGGUGCUAUUUGGAGACCAGGCAAUGGGGCAAGUAUUAAUAUUUGGUCUGAUCUUUGGAUCCCUACUCCCUAUGAUAGGCGUGUGAUGACACCACGUGGGCAUUGCCUUCUUGAGACGCUACAAGAUCUUAUUGAUCCACAUACGGGAGAGUGGGAUGUACAAUUGGUGCAUGACAAUUUUUGGCCAAUUGACGUUGCAAGGAUUAUGCAAAUUCCGCUUCCAUCCCAACAGCAACUAGAUUUCAUAGCAUGGCAAUUAUGCAAGUCUGGGAGAUUUACUGUCUGUUUGGCUUAUCAUGCAGAAUGGAAAGCAGAGUAUCAGACUAGAGCGGGUAUUGAUACUGGUGUGGGAAGAAGUAUGUCACAUCCGGUAUGGAAAUUACUUUGGGAUUUGAGUAUCCCCCCAAAGUACAUAUUUUUAUUUGGCGAGCUCUACACGGAAUUGUGCCAUGUUACUGUAAUUUAG
rnacentral:rRNA from 1 species